AACGAACGCUGGCGGCAUGCCUAACACAUGCAAGUCGAACGAGACCUUCGGGUCUAGUGGCGCACGGGUGCGUAACGCGUGGGAACCUGCCCUUAGGUUCGGAAUAACUCCCCGAAAGGGGUGCUAAUACCGGAUAAUGUCUUCGGACCAAAGAUUUAUCGCCUUUGGAUGGGCCCGCGUUGGAUUAGCUAGUUGGUAGGGUAAAAGCCUACCAAGGCGACGAUCCAUAGCUGGUCUGAGAGGAUGAUCAGCCACACUGGGACUGAGACACGGCCCAGACUCCUACGGGAGGCAGCAGUGGGGAAUAUUGGACGAUGGGCGAAUGCCUGAUCCAGCAAUGCCGCGUGAGUGAUGAAGGCCUUAGGGUUGUAAAGCUCUUUUAACCGGGAUGAUAAUGACAGUACCGGGAGAAUAAGCUCCGGCUAACUCCGUG
rnacentral:rRNA from 1 species